CUGGAAGAUCGUCGUCGAGGCUGGGUGGAGAUAAUGGUGGGAUAGCUGAGAGGUCAGAAAGAUUGUCCACAAUUUCCAGGACCCUUCUGGCAGUUGCUUGAAAAUCCCCCCUAUUAAUACCGACCUUCCUAGAAGAUAGAACUCCAGAUUCAAUUGGUCUAGAAGAAUUGCUACUCUCAACAGAUGAUAAGAAUUGAUCUUUUGCCAGUGUAUUUUGAACAGCAGAUGAGAUUACAGAACUAAAGAUGCCAG
rnacentral:misc_RNA from 1 species